rnacentral:rRNA from 1 species
UGGGUGACCUGCCCUCAGCUCUGGGAUAAGCCUGGGAAACUGGGUCUAAUACUGGAUAUUCACUUCUCAUCGCAUGGUGGGUGGUGGAAAGUUUUUUCGGCUGGGGAUGGGCCCGCGGCCUAUCAGCUUGUUGGGUGGGGUGAUGGCCUACCGAGGCGACGACGGGUAGCCGGCUGAGAGGGUGACCCGGCCACACGUGGGACUGAGACACGGCCCAGACCUCCGUACGGGA